rnacentral:rRNA from 1 species
UACGAAGGGGGCUAGCGUUGCUCGGAAUUACUGGGCGUAAAGGGCGCGUAGGCGGAUAGUUUAGUCAGAGGUGAAAGCCCAGGCUCAACCUUGGAAUUGCCUUUGAUACUGGCUAUCUUGAGUUCGGGAGAGGUGAGUGGAAUGCCGAGUGUAGAGGUGAAAUUCGUAGAUAUUCGGCGGAACACCAGUGGCGAAGGCGACUCACUGGCCCGAUACUGACGCUGAGGCG